GAGCGCGAGCCGUACCAGCUACAGCAGGCUGCCCGAACCCCAUGCUGGUUUGCUUUGGAGAGCGGAGAGGCAAUCAAUGUGUGCUCACAAAAGGGGAAGAGCAUUCAGAGAGCCAACUGUUCCCUCAGGCCAUGGGGCAGGAGCGGGGACAGAUAUGAAAAUAAUGUGCUGCUAGAUGGAGACGGGAAUAAGCCAACCUGCACGCUCAAGCAAAAUAUGAACCCGGGCCUGCCUGCCUUCUGCCUGCGUGAACGCGGCGUUGCGGCUACCCGUUGUCGGCGCUUUGGCGCGCACCCCUUGCCGCUCAGCCGACUUGUGUCGAGGGUCAAAACACAAACCAGAGAUCCUGAGGAACACGCUGAAGGCGGAGAACGCUGUUAGUGACAACAGAACAUCGGGUCUGAGCGCAAGGUCACGAGCAAAAUCGGAUUCAAACCGAGUCCGGAAGGGUCCCCUCCUGGCGGUCUUGCUCAGACUUCCAACGCGGAGGAGACCCUCGAGAACGAUUAGGCCGUAGCGCAGCCAGCUCCGCUCGCCCGACUCCGACACGACCGGAGGGAGUCCGACGCUUCGGACCGAGACGCUUUCAUUCGACGAAUUUCCCCCAAAAAUAAAACAGUGAGCUGGGAAAAAGAAAAAAAAAAA
rnacentral:lncRNA from 1 species